rnacentral:rRNA from 1 species
AUUGAACGCUGGCGGAAUGCUUUACACAUGCAAGUCGAACGGUAGAGGGGGCAACCCCUCGAGAGUGGCGAACGGGUGAGUAAUAUAUCGGAACGUGCCCAGUCGUGGGGGAUAACGUAGCGAAAGUUACGCUAAUACCGCAUACGAUCUAAGGAUGAAAGCGGGGGAUCGCAAGACCUCGCGCGAUUGGAGCGGCCGAUAUCAGAUUAGGUAGUUGGUGGGGUAAAGGCUCACCAAGCCAACGAUCUGUAGCUGGUCUGAGAGGACGACCAGCCACACUGGAACUGAGACACGGUCCAGACUCCUACGGGAGGCAGCAGUGGGGGAAUUUUUGGACAAUGGGCGAAAGCCUGAUCCAGCAAUGCCGCGUGCAGGAUGAAGGCCUCGGUUGUAACUGCUUUUGUACGGACGAAAGACUCUGGUUAAUACCUGGGGUUCAUGACGGUACCGUAAGAAUAAGCACCGGCUAACUACGUG